rnacentral:tRNA from 1 species
AAAGACAAAGUAUAAGCGUAGUACAUUUCACUUACAAUGAAAAGGGCCAGAUAAGGUGUCUUUA